rnacentral:lncRNA from 1 species
CUCCACUUUACUCUAAGAUACAAGCUGCCACUCGUGUUUUAGGGCUGAUUUUGGCGUUCCAAAGAUUUACCAUUGCAGUUGCUCCUAGAGAGGCCCUUUCUCCCUAAAGCAACAUCUGGAUUCUUUAGCAUAAAAUUGGCAACAUCUAGACCCCAAGUUGUCCCAUUACCACAGGGUCUAUCGGGGGUGAUAAUUAUGGAAAUUACUGAUCACAGGUGUGUGACCUACACAGCAUGAUGCUAAAAAUAUUUCCACCUCCUUCGUGGUAAAGCUCCUGUUAUACCAUCACAAUGACUUUCUAUAUUACAUAUUUAAUUAUCCUUUCGCUUCAGAAAGUCUCUUGCUGAAAACACCAUCCAUGAACUGGUUCCUUACUGUUGAUGAUCCCCUUUUCAGCUGCCUUUAAUCGGUAGCUUGCUUAUCCCAUAAAUCUUCACUGUGAGUCAGGAGCCAUCCAACCUUCCAGCUUACAGCUCAUUUCCUCAGGAUCCCAGCAGACCACCAGUCCUUCCAGGAGCUUCUUCCUCUGAUUUCUCUGGAAAAUAGGGAAACAGAGCUCACUUUCAAAAGACAGCAAAGAGGACUUGCUACAUUUCAAUUUUCGGUUAGAAGAUGCACCCCUGGACAGGUCAAGAAUGACUGCCUCACCCUUUCAUACGGAAACUGACAGCUAAUUUCUUUGGAGGUGUCUGCCAGGAUUAAACAUUGAGAUCUUCUUCUUGUGCAUCCCGCGCUUUGUGUUUCCAGACAGGGCUGCCCCAUCCACAUCAGUCUAGACAGGUCAGUUCCAGCUGCCCUCUUCUCUUGUGAUUCAGCACUCCUCAAGCGUGACUUCAAUCCUUUCUGUAGCAACUCAGUCAGAACUUGCCAGCCAGCGAAAAGACGUCAAGAGUUAUAAUUCUUCUGGAAUAUAUAUUUUACAUUCACACCAUUAUUUCUCC